rnacentral:rRNA from 1 species
CCUACGGGUGGCAGCAGUGAGGAAUAUUGGUCAAUGGGCGCGAGUCUGAACCAGCCAAGUAGCGUGAAGGAUGACUGCCCUACGGGUUGUAAACUUCUUUUAUAAAGGAAUAAAGUGAGGCACGUGUGCCUUUUUGCAUGUACUUUAUGAAUAAGGAUCGGCUAAUUCCGUGCCAGCAGCCGCGGUAAUACGGAGGGUCCGAGCGUUAUCCGGAUUUAUUGGGUUUAAAGGGAGCGCAGACGGGUUGUUAAGAUAGUUGUGAAAGGUUGCGGCUCAACCGUAGAAUUGCAAUUGAUACUGGCAGUCUUGAGUACGGUUGAGGUAGGCGGAAUUCGUGGUGUAGCGGUGAAAUGCUUAGAUAUCACGAAGAACUCCGAUUGCGAAGGCAGCUUACUAAACUGCCACUGACGCUGAGGCUCGAAGGUGUGGGUAUCAAACAGGAUUAGAUACCCUUGUAGUC